rnacentral:rRNA from 1 species
GUAGGUGGCAAGCGUUGUCCGGGAAUUAUUGGGCGUAAAGCGCGCGCAGGCGGUUCUUUAAGUCUGAUGUGAAAGCCCACGGGCUCAACCGUGGAGGGUCAUUGGAAACUGGAGAACUUGAGUACAGAAGAGGAAAGCGGAAUUCCACGUGUAGCGGUGAAAUGCGUAGAGAUGUGAAGGAACACCAGUGGCGAAGGCGGCUUUCUGGUCUGUAACUGACGCUGAGGCGCGAAAGCGUGGGGAGCAAACAGGAUUAGAUACCCUGGUAGUCCACGCCGUAAACGAUGAGUGCUAAGUGUUAGGGGGUUUCCGCCCCUUAGUGCUGCAGCUAACGCAUUAAGCACUCCGCCUGGGGAGUACGGCCGCAAAGGCUG